UCUCAGGUAAACAAGCUAUGCUCCCUUGUAAAACCGAGGCCAGUCUUGGUCAUUUAGAGGAAGUCAAAGUCGUAACAAGGUUUCCGUAGGUGAACCUGCGGAAGGAUCAUUAACGAAUUACUGGAGAGUUGAUGCUGGCAAUAAACUAAUUGCAAGUGCUCACUGUCUUAAUUUCAUCUGCACCUGUGCACUCUUGUAUACAUGCUUGAAAGGAGCCCAAGUGGCUUGGUUCAGGCAUGUAGACAAAUCUCACAAACUCUUUAUAAUAAAUCCUGAAUGUUCUUUUGCUGCAAGGCAAAAACUUUAUAACAACUUUUAACAACGGAUCUCUUGGCUCUCGCAUCGAUGAAGAACGCAGCGAAAUGCGAUAAGUAAUGUGAAUUGCAGAAUUCAGUGAAUCAUCGAAUCUUUGAACGCACCUUGCGCUCCCUGGUAUUCCGGGGAGCAUGCCUGUUCGAGUGUCAUUACACUCUCAAGCCAGAUGGUUUCUUACGAAUUCAUCUUGGUUUGGAUUUGGACUUUGCUGUGACUCUUGAAGGCAUAGCUGGUCUUAAAUAGAGUAGCUGGCCCAUUUGAAGGCUUGGUUCUACUUGGCGUGAUAAUUAUCUGGCGUCAAGGACAUUCUCUAGGGAGUGGCCAAUCUUUGUCUGGACUGCUUCUAACUGUCUUAGGACAAAUUUAAUUACUGACAUCUGACCUCGAAUCAAGUAGGACUCCCCGCUGAACUUAAACAUAUCACUAAGCGUAUGAGUCAUAGUUGUUUCCUGAGUCAAA
rnacentral:rRNA from 1 species